AAGACUCUACUUUAAGGGAUCAUUUCUUUAGUCUGGAACUAGAGGAUUGUGUUUCUACAGAGGUUGGUCUGGCUGUCCAUGAUGAUGAAUGAAGAUGUUUCCUUCAGAGCAGGAAGCUGGUGAGAAGAUGAGAAUCUUCUUCACUGAUGAAGACUGUUCAGUGUUUCUGGAUGUGACGCUGAUGGAGGAAACAUUGUCUGAGUGGA
rnacentral:snoRNA from 1 species